AGGCUUCUGUAAAAUUCAGCCCAAGCUUUGGCAGAGCACGCCUGCUCCACAUGGGAAGGACGGCCCGAGUCAAACCCUGAACCUCAGAACUCUUUGUGGACGUGCACCUCAUCAUUACAAUGGGGCCUUCUGCACGCACAAUGUCCCGCCCCCCGAAGUCCCGUGGCCCCAGACAGCUUUGAAGCCCGCCGAGAUCAAAACGCAACUAGGUGGGCCGGUCCAGAUGUGGUCCAGAGGGGACGUGCGCCAACGGUACGAGGAAGUGUGCCUUUUGUCCACGUCUGACAGGAGGUCCGCACCGGAGUGGAGCCCUCCAGGAGGCCCUUCCGCAGCAGUGUGUGUCGGGUCCAUCACACGCAGGUAUUGAUAGGGACCGCCCCCCAGCGGGACCCUUAAUAGGCCUCUAACGGGAUGACCAGCCUGCGGACGGCCCCCGCCAACCCCCCGUCACUUACAUGAUCACAGAUGGAGGGUGAAGUUGGGGGUUUGACGGACAGACGGGGAAAUUUGGGGAUGAGCGGGGGGAGUGUUGAAGGGGGUGAGUGACGGCUCUUGCUGGGGUGUCAGAAAGUGACAGUGCUGUCCUCAUGUUGAGGGAAAGUCUUUAUCCUGGGGCGAUGUUUUUUUUUUUUUCCUUUGUUUCACUUUUUCCCAUAGUAGUGGGUUUUUAGUUCAUAAAACAAUCAAAAGUGCUUUUAGCACAUUAGAAAUGCAUGUUCAAAAUGGCAGCUAAGGCAAAAAGAUCCAAUCCCAUUCGAUAAUUGCAAAUGGCGCAAGUUCCUUCAGUACAUCAUCAGAUUCCCUCGAAAAUCUUUGUAAAACUUGACUUUGUUUGGUGCCUGGGAAAACAUCAAGAAUGGCUUCUAGAGCUUUAUAAAUGUCCCUUUCUUGUUGUUUUUGCUCUCAAAGACCUAAAACCAGCCACAUGUUUCUACAGAUGCCCAAAAACAACUACAAAACUCUUUAAUCAUCUUAAAUCUGACUCUUGAUUAAAAUUUCUGUCACCUAAAAAAAACAACCACAUUUUUUAGAUAAUAGACUAUCAAUGUGUUCUUAGUGUCUCUUAAAAUGAAAACAAAACAUUUUCUUCAAUGGGGAUGCACAACCCAGGAAGUGCAAGCGGGGAACAGAAGAAAUAAUAGGGCGUACACCGGUGGCCUGAAAAAACAAAAAACUAAACUAAACUAAAUGAACAGAUUGAAGAGCACACAGUCUAUGCAAAUUCUAUGAUGAGCUUUUUUUGUUUCAAAUAUUGAAAGAUUUUGGCAGAUAAUAUAGACAACCAUGGAUUGGAUUACUCAUGUGUGGACCUGUUGGGAGGGGACUGUUGAGUCUUCUAGUUGGAUGGGGAUGACUCAGAAGAAGAAGUAAGAGCUAUGCUAUGCUAUGCUAUGCUAUGCUAUGCUAUGCUAUGCUAUGCUAUGCUAUGCUAUGCUGUGCUGUGCUGUGCUGUGCUAUGUCAUGUUUAACAACUCAUAUAUGCUAUUGCAGCUCUUUUAGUAGCAUUUCAAAACUGAGGUCAGAGUUGUGUUGCUAAUUAUGUUUCCAAUCAUAAACGCACACACACACACACACACACACACACACACACACGCAUGCCCAUCAUAUCAAUGUCCAGUGUGAUUGGGUGGGCGCCCUCAGGGGGGACAUGAAGCAGCCUACAAAACGUUAACAUCUGUCACACAUUACUGAGCCAGGGCACUUUUCAUUGGCCCAUAUGAUCACACAUGGACACACACAUGAAUGCAAACACACGCACGCACGCACACACGGUUUGGGGGUGCUGUCAUUUCUGCUUUCCCAUCCAGUGAUAAUGCCAGUUUAGAAUUGCUGCUGAUCUUUGCUGAGUGGGGGGGUUCCGCCCUCGGAUGAUUGCAUCUAGAUGACGUUGCUAUCGCUGGAUCAAAACUAAGCAAAUCAUUUAAAAAAUUAUAAUAAUAGUAACUAACUAAAAUAACAAAUAACACUUUGAUCAAAACAUUUGUACCGGUUAUAAACCUAGCAAUUGAACGGGGUGUGUAGACUUUUUAUAUCUAUACAUGAUACAUCCAAAACCAGUUACAUCUCUAAUGAAGUCGCGCCUUUCUUGGCACGCAUGUCGCACGUCUUUUGCGUGUUUGUUUGCUCUCCAGCAGCAACAACACCACCGACAAGCUGUCAGUGUGUUGUUGACGUUGAUGAAAAGCACCAACUGUGACGGAGUCUGCCUGGCAGCUCCUUUAAUGGUGCGCUCUGCCGUGCCAACUGAAUGUGGGCCAGGGCCAACAGGCUAAUAGGAAAUCACGGCGCGUGCUAAGCUAGGCUAGGCUAGGCUAGGCUAGGCUAGGCAGUGAAUGAACUUAAACCAAAAUCAAGCGCUGAAAAAGGUCGAGAGGUAUUGGUAGACGUGCUUUUGGGAGUGAAGCUGUUGUCAAGUUGUUGAUUUACGAUCCUGCGUCUGCUCAAUAGCCACGUUUUCAUUUCAGUGAUUGUUGUUCAUAAAUUUAUCGGGAGACCGAUAUGAAUUUUCAAAAAGCACAUCGAGAGACACUGGUAUUGUUUCCCAGGGACGUCGCCUGCCUAAUUUAAUUUGAUUUGUACAGCAAUGCCACUGCGUGUGUUUGUGAACAUUUCCGUGCGUUGGCAUGCCAGCUCUGAGACUGGCAGAGCGCUGGGUGACAGUCUUUCUCAGCAGGAGGAGUGUUGGGACAAAGUGAAACAUGAUCGUGAGGAGGCGGCUGAUUCCGUUCCCAAGCCAAGAACAGACAUCGCAGAUAAAGACAUCACAUUGCAUCGUUGUCAAAACAACAUUUAGUUUACAAACAUUAAAUAAAUGAGUUAAGCAGCAAAAUUCACCCGUUUUCAUCUAUCUCAGGGGGUGGCCAUUUUGCCACUUGCUGUCGACUGAAAAUGACAUCACAGUUGUCUCAGGUCACAACCAAUCACGGCUCAGCUUCAGAAAGGGGGUGAGCCGUGAUUGGUCGUGACAACAAAGUCCUCAUGCACAAAGAAAUUGAGUUAGCAAAUCUCAACGUCCCGUCGCUGCAAUAGGACAAUUUUCUGAAUCACAAAACACCAAGAGGUGAGGCUGCGUUUCGUUGGAGCGCCAAUAACCGCUCUGUAUGAACUAUAAAAGGCGCACGUCCCUUCCCUCCGAUGACACGUGUAAAGCAUCCAUCCGAUGACACCAUUUAAACACAUUCAUCCUCGCCUGUUUUCCUGCCGUCAUUAUUCCCGAGAGACUCAUUGCUGGCGACAUAUUCCAAACAUGCGGUGGCCAGCGAUCCACACGCACGCACACACACACUGCGCAGGACAGUUGUUUUUGAGCAGUUUUGGGGGCAGCCGGACCCUGACGGGGAGCCACCAAACUAUUGAGGCGACCGGCUGGCACGCCGACAAGCGCCAGUCCCAGAGCACGUUUACGACCAACGCUGAGCGCCAUCUGUCAGUCACUGUAGGAGAGGAGCGCUCACACACGCGCACACACACUUCCCGUCUGGCUCGGUACACUUCCAUGAGUGGAAGGUCGGACCCACGAUAUUGAGAGUGCGGGCUUCUCGCGACAAAAACACUGAGCAUGGCGACGAGCAUGACUCGACUGCUUUUUAUCUCCAUCUUUUAGUCAUUGUAAUGAUCACUUACCAAAAAUUAUUCAUUUCUAUUCAUACAUUUAAUUCAGAAAAUAUGUUUUUUUGUAUUGUAAUAUGUAAUUUUUAGUUAAAAUUGAAAACAUAGUAUAAAACACAAAAAGUUUCUCGUGUUGAAUGCCUAUUCAGAAAUUAUGGUUCUAUUAGUUGGGCCCUAAUCACAUUUAAUUAUUAAAAAUAUAUUUAAAUUGAGUAAUUUUUUUCAGGGACAAAAUAAAGGUUUAAAAUUUUCUUAAAGAUGAUUUAGAUCUAUGGUCACUUUCUAAGUAACUAAAUCACUGUCGCUUUUACUUCAUUGGUUAUAAAUAAAUUAAUACGUAAACAGAUAAAAUGGCAAAAAAUACUAGAUAAUGUCAUUAAAUUCCUCCCUUUUUUGUUUUUGCACAAAAUAAAUACAGUACAUAAAACGACAUUUCCUGUAAUCAAACAGUAUUCCCUCAUGUGCAAAAAAAGUUUGUUACUUUCACUUAAAUUGCACUUUUUGUCAUCUUUAUUGUUGGACUGAUUUAUGGUGGUUGAUGCGACGACAUCUCGGAAGUAUUUAAAUGUUGCAGAUGGUAUCUUUGAGGAGCAUCCUGGUGUUUAACGGCACCCUGCCUAUUCUGUAAAUAAACAAGACAUUGCAUAUUAUUUGCUUAGCUCAUCACUUGUUGACAUUUUAAUUCAUUUUUUCAUGACUUUCAAUUCAAUAAAUAAAAACACGGGAGUGGCGUCGCGUUACGCUUUAUGAUUAUGACACUUCCUGUCGCAGCCCGACGAUGGGUGCAGCACCGCGACCCCGCCCCGGACAAAAAGUGUCAAUUAACAUGCAAAUGAGCGCUUGUCGCCAACGGCAAUGGCAAGGCGCUCUUAUGAUGGAAAUAUGUUGCCCAUUUUGGCCCGUGUGGGUUCAACAUUAGUCAGCUGAGCACGGUGGGAGCAACGAACCCCCCCUUACUCCCGAGGCCUCCCCCAGGGCGGAGGCAGGUGCACUGUCCCCCCCUGACUCACACACAACGAUCAGGCGGUUUUAAUCGUGCCGGUUCAGCCUGUCCUCCUGGUCAAUAAGUUAUUCCCUCAACUGCUUUUGUUCCAGGCCGCCUUCUCUUUAUUCACAGUAAAUUCACUUUCUCCCGACGCCCUCGGGUACACACGCAAACACACACGUGCAGCCGACGAGCAAACCACUAGCAGAUGUGCUUUCCAUUAAACUUUGUAUUUGGGGCCCGUGCCGUCUCAACAUUUGAGAUCGCGGGCCGAGUAGGGUCAUGAUGUCGCUGUCACCUGAUUGGCCGGCAUUUUGAGUCAGCGUUUAAAUCAGUGUUUUUCUGUCCUCUGAUUGGUCAGUUAAUUAAAACACAUUUGUGCACAUUUUUGGUUAUGAUGCAUUUUCUUGGCUUUUGAAAAUGUUUUUGAGAUUGGAUAAAUAUUGAUUGUGAUUGCAGCGUGAGUCGUGGCAGUUUUGUUGCAUUUUUCCAGCUAAUGAAGACGUGCCGUUGUGACAUCAUUAUAGGCGCUUGCACUCUGUUUAGCUUUUCACCUGAAUGCCGGCGUCCGUAAGGAGCUCUCAUUUACAUGCUCGCCUUAAACAUGCGCGUGACAUUUGUGGGCCGCCACCCCCCGGCGAACGUAAACCAGGCGGCCUUCGCAGUUGUUGGCCUCCUAAUUAGGCCGAAUGAAGAAGUAUUGAGGAGUCCAUUUGCUUUGAAAAGCCAGCAUAAUAAAGCGCAAGUCACUGCUAAGCAGCUUCCCUUGACAACAUCCUCCUCAGUGUAGCGCGCUUAAAAGGCCGGCGCAGCUACCCGCCUAUUUACAUCCCAUCUGCCAGCUCUCACGCACACGCACACACACACACGCACACACACGCACGCACACACACGCAGCCGUCAUUCCUAAAGACAAAAACAGCAGCGAAAAAUGAACUCUUUCACUCCUUCUCGAGUCACAAAAGGCCUCCUCUCCCUUCUGCCUCCCUCUUUUCUUUGCUUUAAUCUUCAUUUGCAUGAGCUCCCCCCACCCACCCCAAAAAAGCAAAAUGUGUAUAAUCCUCUGCUUUUUAGCAUCGUGUAAUCCCACCACCUCUCUGUGAUGUCAUUCUCCCCUUGUGGGUCCCACGUGAACAAUUAGCUUGUAAUCUGCAAACAUGCAUUCUGUCAUUGCAGA